rnacentral:rRNA from 1 species
AGUGAACGCUGGCGGUAGGCCUAACACAUGCAAGUCGAACGGCAGCACAGUAAGAGCUUGCUCUUACGGGUGGCGAGUGGCGGACGGGUGAGGAAUACAUCGGAAUCUACUUUUUCGUGGGGGAUAACGUAGGGAAACUUACGCUAAUACCGCAUACGACCUACGGGUGAAAGCAGGGGAUCUUCGGACCUUGCGCGAUUGAAUGAGCCGAUGUCGGAUUAGCUAGUUGGCGGGGUAAAGGCCCACCAAGGCGACGAUCCGUAGCUGGUCUGAGAGGAUGAUCAGCCACACUGGAACUGGGACACGGUCCAGACUCCUACGGGAGGCAGCAGUGGGGAAUAUCGGACAAUGGGCGCAAGCCUGAUCCAGCCAUACCGCGUGGGUGAAGAAGGCCUUCGGGUUGUAAAGCCCUUUUGUUGGGAAAGAAAAGCAGCAGGUUAAUACCCCGCUGUUCUGACGGUACCCAAAGAAUAAGCACCGGCUAACUUCGUG